CCCAGAGAGCACUCAGGGCUGCCACGCAGUGCACGACGCCUACCUGCUCAACUGCAGGGAAACAAGCUUCUGAAGGCUUUAAUGGGAUUUUGCCCGAGGCUGUUUUAUUAAGAUGUCGGCUUUUUCUGCUGCCUCUGCAGCUGACACCAUUCACUGUCAGCUGCCCCCCUUCCCCGGUCCCCCUCCUCCCGUCCCCCCCAACAAUGCACCAAAUUACUCGCUUCAUUUAGUGCUCAUGGCUCAGCACAGGCAAAUAAGAGGAAAGAGUUCGACUUGACCAGAUGAGUCUCAGCGAGGGGAGGUUAAAAAAAGAAAGAGCGGAGCUGGACGAGCUAAUUAGAGGCUGUGUAUUUCAGUAGCAAGAGUAAAUGAGAUACGGCACAGCAGUGGAAAAUGUUCUGUGUAAUGCCCCUUUCUCCCUUGUUGUGCCUGAGUGGUACUGGCAGACCGAAGGAUGGUUUCCUAUCUAGAACUGAGCAGACUGAGGAAAUCCUGUCUGGAAGGCAAGGCACGCUUUGCAAGUGUCGGAAAAGAUUAUCUCUGAUAUCUCUCAUUAAGUUCUCCAGAUUUCCAUGGAAGCUUAAGAGCUCACCCAGAGCCAAGGACUGUUCUGCUUCUUGAACGGCCACACUGGCAACGAGGCUGGGAGUGAAUGAAAAGGGAGGAGACACAGCCAGGACAGGUGACCCCAACUUACCCGAGGGAUGUUCCAGACCAUGUGACAUCAUGCUCAGUCUAUAAAGUGAGAAACAAAAUGAGGCAAAAUUACAAGGAUCUGCAUGCCAUACUUGUGGCAUUAAUGGUGCUACAAAAAAAAAGAUUCUCCUGUGAUUGAAGAGUGUCCUUCCUGUGGAAGAAAGAAUCUAGUACAUAGAGAAAAAUGACACCCAGGAGUGUCAGAAGUGACCAAAAUCAUCCAUUUUUACUCCUGCAAGCACUGGAAGGCCACAAUGAGGUCACCCCAAAGCCUUCUCUUCUCCAGGCUGAACAAUCUGAACUCUCUCAGCCUUUCCUCACAGCAGAGCUGCUCCAUCCCUCUGAUCACCCUGGUGCCUCCUCCUGACUCUCUCCAGCAGCUCCAGGUCCUUCUUGUGCUGGGCCCCAGGGCUGGAGGCAGCUUUGCAGGUGGGUAAAUACUCUGCAUAUACUGAGUAUACACUAUGCCUUUCUUUCUCCUCAAAUAGUGUUAAUUCUCAUUAGUAAUUUCAUAAUGAAGACCACUGUUUACUGAAACGGCACAACCUAACUUUAUGUAAAGUUUUGCCCAAGAUCAUUACAAAUUUAUUGGUUAAAUGCUGCUUUUAUUUAAAAAGUUAUUAAUCAUUUCACUGAACUCUCAGGAUUUUCACCUUCACGACUUUCCUAAUUCUCAAAAAACAAAUCCAUGCAUGUAGAGUACUGUUAAUGCUGCUUAUGGUGUCUCUGCAGAUAAGUGAAAUAAUCAAGAUAUUAAGACCAGGGUUAUAGUGAAUGAAAAGAGGGUAAUUUAAUAAUGGUUGAUUAUAUUCCUAUUGCCAAUUUUUCAAUAUACUCAGUAGCAAUCAGUCAUAUAUUGGGCACAAAACACUGAGAUUUGCACCCAAGCCACAUCUGGAGGAAUAAAAUCAUAGAGUCAUUAAAGUUGGAAGAGGUGUCUAAGGUCGUGGAGUCCAAUCUUUGACCCAACACCACCAUGGCAACCACACCAUACAUAGCACAUGUGCCACAUCCACUCAUUUUUGGAACACUUCCAGGGAUGGGAUGGUGACUCCACCACUUCCUUGGGCAGCCUAUUCCAAAGUUUAAUCACUCUUUCAGUGAAGAAAAAAAAGUGUAAAUCUCAGAGCAGUUACCUAAAAAAAACCCAUUUCCAAAUAUUGUGAGAUCAUGACAUUGCUGGGAAGUGCUGGAAUAUUUCAUGAAACUAUACUGAGAUUCUGCAACUGGAGUGGAUAGAUAGUAAUAAUUAGAGGAGAAGGAGAUUGUCUUUCAUCUCAGAAAACAAAACAAAACAAAACAAAGCAUAACAAAACAAAACAAAACA